UACGGAGGUUGCGAGCGUUGUUCGGAAUCACUGGGCGUAAAGCGCGUGUAGGCGGCCUCUUAAGUCUGGUGUGAAAGCCCGGGGCUCACCCCCGGAAGUGCACUGGAAACUGGGUGGCUGGAGUACCGGAGAGGAGGGUGGAAUUCCUGGUGUAGCGGUGAAAUGCGUAGAUAUCAGGAGGAACACAGGUGGCGAAGGCGGCCCUCUGGACGGAUACUGACGCUGAGACGCGAAAGCGUGGGGAGCAAACAGG
rnacentral:rRNA from 1 species